rnacentral:rRNA from 1 species
UACGAAGGGUGCGAGCGUUGUUCGGAAUUACUGGGCGUAAAGGGUUUGUAGGCUGAUAUGUAAGUCAAGUGUGAAAUCCCCGAGCUAAACUUGGGACGUGCAUUUGAAACUGUGUUUCUUGAGUAUCGUAGAGGGUGGUGGAAUUGUAGGUGUAGGAGUGACAUCCGUAGAGAUCUGCAGGAACAUCAGAGGCGAAGGCGACCGCCUGGCCGAUGACUGACGCUGAGGAACGAAAGCGUGGGGAGCAAACAGG